rnacentral:rRNA from 1 species
AUUGAACGCUGGCGGCAGGCCUAACACAUGCAAGUCGAACGGUAACAGGAAGAAGCUUGCUUCUUUGCUGACGAGUGGCGGACGGGUGAGUAAUGUCUUGGAAACUGCCUGAUGGAGGGGGAUAACUACUGGAAACGGUAGCUAAUACCGCAUAACGUCUCAAGACCAAAGAGGGGGACCUUCGGGCCUCUUGCCAUCGGAUGUGCCCAUAUGGGAUUAGCUAGUAGGUGGGGUAACGGCUCACCUAGGCGACGAUCCCUAGCUGGUCUGAGAGGAUGACCAGCCACACUGGAACUGAGACACGGUCCAGACUCCUACGGGAGGCAGCAGUGGGGAAUAUUGCACAAUGGGCGCAAGCCUGAUGCAGCCAUGCCGCGUGUAUGAAGAAGGCCUUCGGGUUGUAAAGUACUUUCAGCGGGGAGGAAGGGAGUAAAGUUAAUACCUUUGCUCAUUGACGUUACCCGAAGAAGAAGCACCGGCUAACUCCGUG